CGAAAGCCUGACGGAGCAAUACCGCGUGAGGGAGGAAGGUUUUUGGAUUGUAAACCUCUUUUAAUAAGGAAGAAGAAAGUGACGGUACUUAUUGAAUAAGCAUCGGCUAACUCCGUGCCAGCAGCCGCGGUAAUACGGAGGAGGCAAGCGUUAUCCGGAAUGAUUGGGCGUAAAGCGUCCGCAGGUGGCAAUGUAAGUCUGCUGUCAAAACCCAGGGCUCAACUCUGGUCAGGCAGUGGAAACUACAUAGCUAGAGUUCGGUAGGGGCAAAGGGAAUUCCCGGUGUAGCGGUGAAAUGCGUAGAGAUCGGGAAGAACAUCGGUGGCGAAAGCGCUUUGCUAGACCGAAACUGACACUCAGGGACGAAAGCUAGGGGAGCG
rnacentral:rRNA from 1 species